UACGAAGGGGGCUAGCGUUGUUCGGAAUUACUGGGCGUAAAGGGCGCGUAGGCGGAUAGUUUAGUCAGAGGUAAAAGCCCAGGGCUCAACCUUGGAACUGCCUUUGAUACUGGCUAUCUUGAGUUCGGGAGAGGUGAGUGGAAUGCCGAGUGUAGAGGUGAAAUUCGUAGAUAUUCGGCGGAACACCAGUGGCGAAGGCGACUCACUGGCCCGAUACUGACGCUGAGGCGCGAAAGCGUGGGGAGCAAACAGG
rnacentral:rRNA from 1 species